rnacentral:rRNA from 1 species
UACGUCUGGUUAGGGUUGUUAACGAUAAUACUACAGUGUAGCUUGUGGACAGUACUCUCACCGAGUAUUGUUGAACACUGUUUGUCGAACGGUACUUGCUCUGUACUACGCAUUGUAUGUGUUGUGUUCAGCAAUUCCCGUUUAAGUGAAGAACACAGUGCAACAUGUGCACGCUGUUAUUCACUACGUUAGUUAGCUAGUUUACUAACGUAUGAUAGCGGUGCAUACUGUAUGACAUGAACAUAUCGUUGUUCACUGUUUAAUCGCUCUCGCGACUUAUGAGCGUGGUUGAACGGAGACAAUGUGAAGGACAACGAUGUUCGCCAUGUGGAUGUGUCAUUUGCAAUGCAACCUGAGCUCAGGCGUGAUUACCCGCUGAACUUAAGCAUAUCAUUUAGCGGAGGAAAAGAAACUAAA